rnacentral:tRNA from 1 species
ACUAUUUUGACAGAAAAAUGUAAUAAAUUUAGAAUUUAUUUAUGUAUAAUUUAUUUAUACAAAUAGUA